UGGUAGCCUGCCCAGCGAGGUCCAUCUGGGGAAAGCCGGUGAGAGUCCGGCACUGACCCGCAACCGUGAGGCGCAUGCGCCGCAGUCGGACUGCCCACUGGCCCUCGGCUCACACACCCGUCGAGGUCUGCGGGAGGGCCAGCCGACGCAGGUCGAUGCUGCUCUUCGAGACGGACCGUCACGAAAGGCUCUCUCAU
rnacentral:ncRNA from 1 species